rnacentral:rRNA from 1 species
GACGAACGCUGGCGGCGUGCUUAACACAUGCAAGUCGAACGAAGUGGCGAACGGGUGAGUAACGCGUAAUCAACCUGCCCUUCAGAGGGGGACAACAGUUGGAAACGACUGCUAAUACCGCAUACUGAAGGAGGGGAUUGCGUCUGAUUAGCUAGUGGGGGGGGUAACGGCCCACCAAGGCGAUGAUACGUAGCCGGUCUGAGAGGAUGAACGGCCACAUUGGGACUGGGAAACGGCCCAGAAUCCUACGGGGGGCAGCAGUGGGGGAUCUUCCGCAAUGGACGAAAGUCUGACGAAGGAACGCCGCGUGAGUGAUGACGGCCUUCGGGUUGUAAAGCUCUGUUAAUCGGGACGCGGUACCGGAAUAGAAAGCCACGGCUAACUACGUGCCAGCAGCCGCGGUAAUAC